GCCCCUGUAGACCAAUCGGCAGAGUCACGGUGCUCAAACCACCGCCAGUGUGGGUUCGAAUCCCACCGGGGGCA
rnacentral:tRNA from 1 species